GUAGUUUGACUCGUGCUACGAGGAUGAACGCUGGCGGCGUGCUUAACACAUGCAAGUCGAACGGUGAAGCCCAGCUUGCUGGGUGGAUCAGUGGCGAACGGGUGAGUAACACGUGAGCAACCUGCCCCUGACUCUGGGAUAAGCGCUGGAAACGGCGUCUAAUACUGGAUACGAGUAGCGACCGCAUGGUCAGUUACUGGAAAGAAUUUUGGUUGGGGAUGGGCUCGCGGCCUAUCAGCUUGUUGGUGAGGUAAUGGCUCACCAAGGCGUCGACGGGUAGCCGGCCUGAGAGGGUGACCGGCCACACUGGGACUGAGACACGGCCCAUACUCCUACGGGAGGCAGCAGUGGGGAAUAUUGCACAAUGGGCGCAAGCCUGAUGCAGCAACGCCGCGUGAGGGAUGACGGCCUUCGGGUUGUAAACCUCUUUUUAGCAGGGAAGAAGCGAAAGUGACGGUACCUGCAGAAAAAGCGCCGGCUAACUACGUG
rnacentral:rRNA from 1 species